AACGAACGCUGGCGGUAGGCUUAACACAUGCAAGUCGAACGCAUCCUUCGGGGUGAGUGGCAGACGGGUGAGUAACGCGUGGGAACCUACAUUUAGGUCUGGAAUAACUGAGGGAAACUUCAGCUAAUACCGGAUAGACCCGAGAGGGUAAAGAUUUAUCGCCUAAAGAUGGGCCCGCGCAGGAUUAGCUAGUUGGUGGGGUAAUGGCCUACCAAGGCGACGAUCCUUAGCUGGUCUGAGAGGAUGAUCAGCCACACUGGGACUGAGACACGGCCCAGACUCCUACGGGAGGCAGCAGUGGGGAAUAUUGGACAAUGGGGGCAACCCUGAUCCAGCCAUGCCGCGUGAGUGAUGAAGGCCCUAGGGUUGUAAAGCUCUUUCGCACGUGACGAUAAUGACGGUAGCGUGAGAAGAAGCCCCGGCUAACUUCGUGCCAGCCGCCGCAGUAACAC
rnacentral:rRNA from 1 species